AAAUUGAAGAGUUUGAUCAUGGCUCAGAUUGAACGCUGGCGGCAGGCCUAACACAUGCAAGUCGAACGGUAACAGGAAGCAGCUUGCUGCUUCGCUGACGAGUGGCGGACGGGUGAGUAAUGUCUGGGAAACUGCCUGAUGGAGGGGGAUAACUACUGGAAACGGUGGCUAAUACCGCAUAACGUCGCAAGACCAAAGAGGGGGACCUUCGGGCCUCUUGCCAUCAGAUGUGCCCAGAUGGGAUUAGCUUGUUGGUGAGGUAACGGCUCACCAAGGCGACGAUCCCUAGCUGGUCUGAGAGGAUGACCAGCCACACUGGAACUGAGACACGGUCCAGACUCCUACGGGAGGCAGCAGUGGGGAAUAUUGCACAAUGGGCGCAAGCCUGAUGCAGCCAUGCCGCGUGUAUGAAGAAGGCCUUCGGGUUGUAAAGUACUUUCAGCGGGGAGGAAGGUGUUGUGGUUAAUAACCGCAGCAAUUGACGUUACCCGCAGAAGAAGCACCGGCUAACUCCGUGCCAGCAGCCGCGGUAAUACGGAGGGUGCAAGCGUUAAUCGGAAUUACUGGGCGUAAAGCGCACGCAGGCGGUCUGUCAAGUCGGAUGUGAAAUCCCCGGGCUCAACCUGGGAACUGCAUUCGAAACUGGCAGGCUUGAGUCUUGUAGAGGGGGUAGAAUUCCAGGUGUAGCGGUGAAAUGCGUAGAGAUCUGGAGGAAUACCGGUGGCGAAGGCGGCCCCCUGGACAAAGACUGACGCUCAGGUGCGAAAGCGUGGGGAGCAAACAGGAUUAGAUACCCUGGUAGUCCACGCCGUAAACGAUGUCUACUUGGAGGUUGUGCCCUUGAGGCGUGGCUUCCGGAGCUAACGCGUUAAGUAGACCGCCUGGGGAGUACGGCCGCAAGGUUAAAACUCAAAUGAAUUGACGGGGGCCCGCACAAGCGGUGGAGCAUGUGGUUUAAUUCGAUGCAACGCGAAGAACCUUACCUGGUCUUGACAUCCACAGAAGAAUCCAGAGAUGGAUUUGUGCCUUCGGGAACUGUGAGACAGGUGCUGCAUGGCUGUCGUCAGCUCGUGUUGUGAAAUGUUGGGUUAAGUCCCGCAACGAGCGCAACCCUUAUCCUUUGUUGCCAGCGGUUAGGCCGGGAACUCAAAGGAGACUGCCAGUGAUAAACUGGAGGAAGGUGGGGAUGACGUCAAGUCAUCAUGGCCCUUACGACCAGGGCUACACACGUGCUACAAUGGCGCAUACAAAGAGAAGCGACCUCGCGAGAGCAAGCGGACCUCAUAAAGUGCGUCGUAGUCCGGAUUGGAGUCUGCAACUCGACUCCAUGAAGUCGGAAUCGCUAGUAAUCGUGGAUCAGAAUGCCACGGUGAAUACGUUCCCGGGCCUUGUACACACCGCCCGUCACACCAUGGGAGUGGGUUGCAAAAGAAGUAGGUAGCUUAACCUUCGGGAGGGCGCUUACCACUUUGUGAUUCAUGACUGGGGUGAAGUCGUAACAAGGUAACCGUAGGGGAACCUGCGGUUGGAUCACCUCCUUA
rnacentral:rRNA from 2 species